CCGUCGGCUGUCAGCGGA
rnacentral:snRNA from 1 species